AGUGAACGCUGGCGGUAGGCCUAACACAUGCAAGUCGAACGGCAGCACAGUAAGAGCUUGCUCUUACGGGUGGCGAGUGGCGGACGGGUGAGGAAUACAUCGGAAUCUACUUUUUCGUGGGGGAUAACGUAGGGAAACUUACGCUAAUACCGCAUACGACCUACGGGUGAAAGCAGGGGAUCUUCGGACCUUGCGCGAUUGAAUGAGCCGAUGUCGGAUUAGCUAGUUGGCGGGGUAAAGGCCCACCAAGGCGACGAUCCGUAGCUGGUCUGAGAGGAUGAUCAGCCGCACUAGAACUGAGACACGGUCCAGACUCCUACGGGAGGCAGCAGUGGGGAAUGUUGGACAAUGGGCGCAAGCCUGAUCCAGCCAUACCGCGUGGGUGAAGAAGACCUUCGGGUUGUAAAGCCCUUUUGUUGGGAGAGAAAAGCAGCAGGUUAAUACCCCGCUGUUCUGACGGUACCCAAAGAAUAAGCACCGGCUAACUUCGUG
rnacentral:rRNA from 1 species